rnacentral:miRNA from 1 species
AUCCGCUUGGCAUCUUUCUUGGCCUUCAAACAACAAUUCUGAUGGUAAAGAUCCAAACGGGACAC